UUACCUCAAAGUUAUAGGUUCUCCGUUACUGGGAACUUCAUAUCGGAUCCGAUCAAUUUAUUGGUUCCAUUCCCCCUAGUAUAAAUGAUCCAUUUGCAGUGACGAUGACAAUCAUAGCUAGUUUAGGGCAAGAAAUAUAGAAGAUAAAGAAAAAUAUAAACAAUUACGACUGUACAGUAGAAAUGAUCGGCAAAACAAGAUAAACAGAAGACAACAAGGCCUAAAUGGUGAGACUUCUUGGUUUUCAUGAUCAUCAACAGGUCAAUACAGAAGAGGAAACUUAAGGUUAAUACUUUUCUACAUUGUGUGCUAAUUGGAUUAAUGUGAAAUGAAAUGUGUGCUUACCUGGAAAAAGAAAAUAGGAAAUUUCUACAAAAUGGCUGUAAACAAAAUGGAAUACAAUCAUAGAUGCACAAGAACACAAUUGUGUAAUUGCAACAACCUACAUAUUCACUGAAGGAUUAUGGAAAAAUGUAGAAAAAAUAAUAUUUUGUCGAAAUAAACACCCGCUUUAUC